UCUGGGAGGGCUGUUGUGUUUCUGUAUUACCUUUUACCUUGUAUAUUUCUGUCUGUAACUGUAUCUACUGUAAAUAUUGUGCUAAGCUGUAAAUAAUAAGCUUAAUUCAAUUUCCAGAGCCAGCUGAGUCUAGUCUGGAUGAUUUCCAAAGUGUGGGGGUGCAGGUAACACCCAAACCACCACAUAAGUAAUCUAAACUCUGUCUUUUGCUUUUAUGUAGGUACCAAUACAUUCUGUAUUGCUGAGCCUUCCAGCAGCAAAUGAAAAAUAUGUAUCUGUUCCUCCUUUCCAUUUUUUGUUUGCUUUUGAAAGCCACUGGCACCAAAGAUAUUCUUUUUGGUCAUAAGAAUUACACAGAAUAUCAAGUGGGGAACAUGAAUCUGAUUCUCUCUGUCCCACAUGGUGGGUCAUUGGAACCCAGAGACAUCCCUGAUCGAGAGGCUGCCUGUUGGGAUGCAAAGACAUCCUCUUGUGUUUUCUCUCAUGAGUGUCCUCCUGGAAGUGUUCAAAACGAUAAGAAAUGUAAAGUAUCUACCAACCAAGACAGGUAUACUAUAGAGGUGGCUCAAGCUCUUGCUGAAGAAAUCAACAAAAUUAGUGAUGGCUUCUUUCCACAUAUCAUUAUAAACCACCUGCAGAGGUUCAAGAUGGAUGCUAACAGGGAAAAGGAAGAAGCCUGUUUUGGAAUUCCCCAAGCAGAACAGGCCUGGGAAGAGUAUAUGGGAUUUCUGACCACUGCAAAAGCUCAGAUGACAGGGGGUCUGAUUCUGGAUAUCCAUGGACAAGCACAUCCUGAGCAGUGGAUAGAACUAGGCUACACACUUUCCAAAACUUCCCUUAACUCAAACACCUUUUCUGCAGCAUCUUCCUCAAUUAGACACCUGGCCAGUCAGCUAGUCAAUGUGUCUUCUACGGCUCUGGUUGCAGGGGACAGAAGUUUGGAGAUCAUCUAGAACAAGAGAACAACUGAUACAACUGAACAAGCCUGCAAUGUAAUGGUAGAUGCUGGUGGGAAGAAAGUGAUCUGCAAAGGAAUGCAGAGAUACCAGUGUAGAGAAAAUCCACAGCUGAUAGCAACAAGUCUAUUAACACACAGCUCUGCAUCAGAUCCAGCACUGGAAAGACCACUUGAAGAUGAGUGUGUUUAUUUGGAAGUAUCAUUUGUCCACUUGUGCUUUUUCUGUUCUUAAUUUCUUUCCAAUAACAUCCUCUGUUCUCCAGAACAUAAUAAACAACUCUUCUGCAUCUAA